AAUAAAUACAGCCAUAGAUAUCCGUGUUUAGCGUUUUGACCGUUCGUUUUAUUUGAAAAAUUUAUGAAAAUUUUUUAAAAAAUUAGUCACACAUAAAGUACUAAUGUUUUAUUAUGUAAUAAUAAUAAAAAUACUAAUCAUAUUUUUUUCAAAUAAAACGAGCAGUCAAACGUUAGACAUGAACAGUUUUAGCACAUAAA
rnacentral:pre_miRNA from 1 species